GGUUCCAUGGUGUAGUGGUUAUCACGUCUGCUUUACACGCAGAAGGUCCUGGGUUCAAACCCUAGUGGAACCA
rnacentral:tRNA from 2 species